GUGAGUAAUGUCUGGGAAACUGCCCGAUGGAGGGGGAUAACUACUGGAAACGGUAGCUAAUACCGCAUAACGUCGCAAGACCAAAGAGGGGGACCUUCGGGCCUCUUGCCAUCGGAUGUGCCCAGAUGGGAUUAGCUAGUAGGUGGGGUAACGGCUCACCUAGGCGACGAUCCCUAGCUGGUCUGAGAGGAUGACCAGCCACACUGGAACUGAGACACGGUCCAGACUCCUACGGGAGGCAGCAGUGGGGAAUAUUGCACAAUGGGCGCAAGCCUGAUGCAGCCAUGCCGCGUGUAUGAAGAAGGCCUUCGGGUUGUAAAGUACUUUCAGCGAGGAGGAAGGUGUUGAGGUUAAUAACCUCAGCAAUUGACGUUACUCGCAGAAGAAGCACCGGCUAACUCCGUGCCAGCAGCCGCGGUAAUACGGAGGGUGCAAGCGUUAAUCGGAAUUACUGGGCGUAAAGCGCACGCAGGCGGUCUGUCAAGUCGGAUGUGAAAUCCCCGGGCUCAACCUGGGAACUGCAUCCGAAACUGGCAUGCUAGAGUCUUGUAGAGGGGGGUAGAAUUCCAGGUGUAGCGGUGAAAUGCGUAGAGAUCUGGAGGAAUACCGGUGGCGAAGGCGGCCCCCUGG
rnacentral:rRNA from 1 species